GCGGGACACGUGGUAUCCUGUCUGAAUAUGGGGGGACCAUCCUCCAAGGCUAAAUACUCCUGACUGACCGAUAGUGAACCAGUACCGUGAGGGAAAGGCGAAAAGAACCCCGGCGAGGGGAGUGAAAAAGAACCUGAAACCGUGUACGUACAAGCAGUGGGAGCCUCUUAAUGGGGUGACUGCGUACCUUUUGUAUAAUGGGUCAGCGACUUAUAUUCUGUAGCAAGGUUAACCGAAUAGGGGAGCCGAAGGGAAACCGAGUCUUAACUGGGCGUUAAGUUGCAGGGUAUAGACCCGAAACCCGGUGAUCUAGCCAUGGGCAGGUUGAAGGUUGGGUAACACUAACUGGAGGACCGAACCGACUAAUGUUGAAAAAUUAGCGGAUGACUUGUGGCUGGGGGUGAAAGGCCAAUCAAACCGGGAGAUAGCUGGUUCUCCCCGAAAGCUAUUUAGGUAGCGCCUCGUGAAUUCAUCUCCGGGGGUAGAGCACUGUUUCGGCAAGGGGGUCAUCCCGACUUACCAACCCGAUGCAAACUGCGAAUACCGGAGAAUGUUAUCACGGGAGACACACGGCGGGUGCUAACGUCCGUCGUGAAGAGGGAAACAACCCAGACCGCCAGCUAAGGUCCCAAAGUCAUGGUUAAGUGGGAAACGAUGUGGGAAGGCCCAGACAGCCAGGAUGUUGGCUUAGAAGCAGCCAUCAUUUAAAGAAAGCGUAAUAGCUCACUGGUCGAGUCGGCCUGCGCGGAAGAUGUAACGGGGCUAAACCAUGCACCGAAGCUGCGGCAGCGACACUAUGUGUUGUUGGGUAGGGGAGCGUUCUGUAAGCCUGUGAAGGUGGCCUGUGAGGGUUGCUGGAGGUAUCAGAAGUGCGAAUGCUGACAUAAGUAACGAUAAAGCGGGUGAAAAGCCCGCUCGCCGGAAGACCAAGGGUUCCUGUCCAACGUUAAUCGGGGCAGGGUGAGUCGACCCCUAAGGCGAGGCCGAAAGGCGUAGUCGAUGGGAAACAGGUUAAUAUUCCUGUACUUGGUGUUACUGCGAAGGGGGGACGGAGAAGGCUAUGUUGGCCGGGCGACGGUUGUCCCGGUUUAAGCGUGUAGGCUGGUUUUCCAGGCAAAUCCGGAAAACCAAGGCUGAGGCGUGAUGACGAGGCACUACGGUGCUGAAGCGACAAAUGCCCUGCUUCCAGGAAAAGCCUCUAAGCAUCAGGUAACAUCAAAUCGUACCCCAAACCGACACAGGUGGUCAGGUAGAGAAUACCAAGGCGCUUGAGAGAACUCGGGUGAAGGAACUAGGCAAAAUGGUGCCGUAACUUCGGGAGAAGGCACGCUGAUAUGUAGGUGAAGCGACUUGCUCGUGGAGCUGAAAUCAGUCGAAGAUACCAGCUGGCUGCAACUGUUUAUUAAAAACACAGCACUGUGCAAACACGAAAGUGGACGUAUACGGUGUGACGCCUGCCCGGUGCCGGAAGGUUAAUUGAUGGGGUUAGCGGUAACGCGAAGCUCUUGAUCGAAGCCCCGGUAAACGGCGGCCGUAACUAUAACGGUCCUAAGGUAGCGAAAUUCCUUGUCGGGUAAGUUCCGACCUGCACGAAUGGCGUAAUGAUGGCCAGGCUGUCUCCACCCGAGACUCAGUGAAAUUGAACUCGCUGUGAAGAUGCAGUGUACCCGCGGCAAGACGGAAAGACCCCGUGAACCUUUACUAUAGCUUGACACUGAACAUUGAGCCUUGAUGUGUAGGAUAGGUGGGAGGCUUUGAAGUGUGGACGCCAGUCUGCAUGGAGCCGACCUUGAAAUACCACCCUUUAAUGUUUGAUGUUCUAACGUUGGCCCGUAAUCCGGGUUGCGGACAGUGUCUGGUGGGUAGUUUGACUGGGGCGGUCUCCUCCUAAAGAGUAACGGAGGAGCACGAAGGUUGGCUAAUCCUGGUCGGACAUCAGGAGGUUAGUGCAAUGGCAUAAGCCAGCUUGACUGCGAGCGUGACGGCGCGAGCAGGUGCGAAAGCAGGUCAUAGUGAUCCGGUGGUUCUGAAUGGAAGGGCCAUCGCUCAACGGAUAAAAGGUACUCCGGGGAUAACAGGCUGAUACCGCCCAAGAGUUCAUAUCGACGGCGGUGUUUGGCACCUCGAUGUCGGCUCAUCACAUCCUGGGGCUGAAGUAGGUCCCAAGGGUAUGGCUGUUCGCCAUUUAAAGUGGUACGCGAGCUGGGUUUAGAACGUCGUGAGACAGUUCGGUCCCUAUCUGCCGUGGGCGCUGGAGAACUGAGGGGGGCUGCUCCUAGUACGAGAGGACCGGAGUGGACGCAUCACUGGUGUUCGGGUUGUCAUGCCAAUGGCACUGCCCGGUAGCUAAAUGCGGAAGAGAUAAGUGCUGAAAGCAUCUAAGCACGAAACUUGCCCCGAGAUGAGUUCUCCCUGAGACUUAGAGUCUCCUGAAGGAACGUUGAAGACGACGACGUUGAUAGGCCGGGUGUGUAAGCGCAGCGAUGCGUUGAGCUAACCGGUACUAAUGAACCGUGAGGCUUAACCUU
rnacentral:rRNA from 1 species